rnacentral:rRNA from 1 species
CGGGGUGAGUAAUGUCUGGGAAACUGCCUGAUGGAGGGGGAUAACUACUGGAAACGGUAGCUAAUACCGCAUAACGUCGCAAGACCAAAGAGGGGGAUCUUCGGGCCUCUUGCCAUCGGAUGUGCCCAGAUGGGAUUAGCUAGUAGGUGGGGUAACGGCUCACCUAGGCGACGAUCCCUAGCUGGUCUGAGAGGAUGACCAGCCACACUGGAACUGAGACACGGUCCAG